UUCCUACAGGUCCCUAAUCUAUUGCAGCAAUGAGCUCUGGCAGGGUGACGGCCGUGGCUCUUGUGGUCAGCCUAUGUAUGGUAUAUUACGUCGGCCUCUCAGGCAGCGCUGCCAUUCCUCCAGUGGUCAUCAUAAAUGAUACAGGACUUUGCCCGGACCCCCCAUGUCUGCCAUCCUGCAAUUCCUGCGUUCCUACUAAACAUACUGCUUGCCCUGAUAUCUGCAAAGCGAUUUCACUGAGCUGAUCCUGUAAUCCGGGAUGAUUCCAUAGCAGUCUCAGGCACGGUCCUCUCCCAAAGCAUUACACAUGGGAUUCCUAGCUCUGCCUCCCAGGAGACACUG